rnacentral:misc_RNA from 1 species
GAUGAAGAACGUAGCGAAACGCGAUAAGUAAUGUGAAUUGCAGAAUCCAGUGAAUCAUCGAAUCUUUGAACGCACAUUGCGCCCGCCAGCAUUCUGGCGGGCAUGCCUGUUCGAGCAUCAUUUCAACCCUCGACCUCCCCUUGGGGAGGUCGGCGUUGGGGACCGGCAGCACACCGCCGGCCCUGAAAUGGAGUGGCGGCCCGUCCGCGGCGACCUCUGCGCAGUAAUACAGCUCGCACCGGGACCCCGACGCGGCCACGCCGUAAAACACCCAACUUCUGAACGUUGACCUCGAAUCAGGUAGGACUACCCGCUGAACUUAAGCAUAUCAAUAAGCGGAGGA